GUAACAAGGUCUCCGUUGGUGAACCAGCGGAGGGAUCAUUGC
rnacentral:rRNA from 1 species